rnacentral:rRNA from 1 species
UACAGAGGGUGCUAGCGUUGUUCGGAAUCAUUGGGCGUAAAGGGCGUGUAGGCGGUUCUUUAAGUUUGGUGUGAAAUCUCCCGGCUCAACCGGGAGGGUGCGCCGAAUACUGAGGGACUUCGAGUGCGGGAGAGGAAAGUGGAAUUCCUGGUGUAGCGGUGAAAUGCGUAGAUAUCAGGAGGAACACCCGUAGCGAAGGCGGCACUCUGGGCCGAUACUGACACUGAGGAGCGAAAGCGUGGGGAGCGAACAGG